GAUAGGUCGCUGUCGUUACCGUGAUUGGACACUGACACAGAGUCAACUAGCCUUAAUCGCGCGGUUCUUCGCGCGCAGAACCGGAGGACGGUCCGAGCCACGAGGGGGGAGGCUCGGACCGUCCGUC
rnacentral:ncRNA from 1 species